rnacentral:misc_RNA from 1 species
CGUGGCGUCCCCCUUCGCCAUGGCUCCAUCAAGCUGCUCGAGAGCCUUGUUGUAGUUGGUGACGUAGGUCUGGUGGUGCUUCUGGUGGUGCAGCUUCAUGAUCUCACCGCUGAUGGCGGGCUCCAGGGCGCCGUAGUCGUAGGGGAGGUCAGGUAGCGAGCAAGUCUGCAGGUGGCGGGCAUGCCGGAACCCUAGGGCAGCGCCGG